ensembl:lncRNA
AUGGAUGAUGAAAACAUGACUUCUCCAAACCUACAGGAGAUGAUACUAGAGUAUGCCUGGACUCACAAGAUGAAGGAUUUACAAGAAGUUGUGGACACUUCUUUAUGGAUGGAAGCCAAACAGCAAUAUUAUUCCCUAAAAGAACCAUGGAGGCUACGAGUAGCUACAGCCCAGGCAUACUCCAUCAUAAAGAACAGGGACGUCGGACGUUAUGAAAGGGUGAUUUCCUUUUUGGAGGCAUCGUACAGACUUCUACCCACACUUGUGGUCGCCAUCAAACACAUGAAGAUCAUGUUUGGACUGAAGACAUUGGUAAUUAUGUGGAUGCUUAAACAAGGCCAAGGCAUUGUUCCUAUCGUUGUUAAAAUCCUCCAGUUCUUUCCCAGCAAACUACCUCAAUACCAAGAUCACUGUAGCAAUAAAGAGAUAUUUUUAAUGCAAAAAAAUCAUCUGGACUUCAGGCUCUUCGCUCAAAGUCUUGCAUUGGACAAGAUGAAACUUGAGGAUUACAUUAAGAAUGAGCUGGAGGAGCAGUACGGUGAACAUUAUACCCAGAAAGUAGAGGACAGACUUCUGCACUAUGUACAUGAAUUGGAGAUGAUGUUACCAAGAGAUACCUAUAUAGACCAGAUCUUACGGCAAGAGCAUAAAGUGAGCCAUGAACACAAGGAAAUUUUGGAGAUUAUAGCUCAAGGCUCCACGGCCAUCGCAAGUUCCCUGAGGAUGCUACUGCAAUGGGGUGACAAAAGCUGUUGUCCUCUGAAAUUCUCCUCGAAACCAGCAGUGGCAGCUGUGGUGGAACCUGUUGCUCUCCCAGAGCCUGCCGUGAACAACAUCUCUUUCGGUGCUCCUCCAAGAUCGGAGACGGCCAAAGCUCCCGUAAUGGCCCGGGAAGACGCAUUGUGCCGACACCUUUCCCAAGACAGCCCUCUUCUGUUUCCUAUGGAGCAGCAGGAGAACAGUGGCGGUGUGGGAGACGGUGAGGUCGGAUGUCCCCAACCAAAAGAGGGGUUGGCGAGGGAAGCUGGGGACGGAGAGGCAGUGAUGAAGGCUGACGGUGGGCGCGAUCAGAGGGGACCGGCCCUCCCCACGGAUCAGCAGGCGGAGGAAGGUGGUCCCCAAAGAGGUGAGGAAGCGGAAGGGGGGGACCACACGGAUGUGCAGCUCAGCCAGAGAAGCGAUGACUCUGAACGCGUGUCCUCCUCUUCCUCAUCUUCCUCCUCUUUGCCACAUUUCUGCACCAAACACAAGCGAUGGGUGAGGAGCAUCCUGUCUGAGUGCUCCAAAGAGCGGCAGGCACAAAGAGACGUGCCUCCCUCCCCUCUGCUCUUCCCUUCCUCUUCCUCCUCUUCGUCUCAGGACCUCACCCCCUCCGACCUCAUCCCAUGCGACCUGAUCCAAAAGCCCCCCAACCGUCAGACCCCCUGCCUCUCUCCGGCAACCGCCCAGGGGCCCGGUCUGACCCUGUCCAUGCAUAACCCCUGCCCCACACGGUCUGUACAGCCGCUCUGCCCCCCCGGGGUCCGCCCAGGGUCCCCCAGAGCAGGGGCCACAAACACCUCCCAUCACGUGGCCCCAUCUACAACCCCUUGCACCCCCGUCCCUGAAUGUUCGGCAAGCCAUGAAGCAGCUGCUUCCAGCCCACCAAAACCUGAGGCUCCAUCGUACUCUUCAGACGGGAAGCACGGGCUGACUGUAGGCCUUUUACCAGACGGGGCUCAAUCACAAUUUGCCCCUUCCAUUUCACCAGACGCGGUUAAACCACAAUUGGCCCCUGCCGUUGCACUCCCCCGGUCAGGGCAAUAUCAGCCGGCCCUCGCCUCGACACUGCCUGCACACUACCAGCAAACUGUAUCUGGUAGCGACUCGCCCUCUGUCUGCAGCCUAACACCUGGCCACACAGCGGCCCCCUCACCAGGGCCUUCGAGAUGCGUGGCCGCUCCUGAAAGAGGGUGCCACCUGUCAGGAUCUCCUGCACAGACCCCCGCCUCGCUUCACCAUGCUCCCCCAGGCUCGUCCAAGGACUCUUCUGAAGUCUCGGCCCUGCCUCCGAGCUCCGACCUGCACUCCGUGUCUCUGACCUCGACCAGCGCCGCGAGAGCGACUCCAUGCACUGAACUUCCCCCCGGCUCGAGACCUGCGCUCGCCGCCGCUGUCUCCACGGUGAGUGACGGACCCCCCCCGAGCGUUUCAGCUCAGGUCCCCCGGGCUCCGACGCAGUCCCUGCCACAGCCUUAUGUGAGACUCACCAGACUGCACCCGCUCAGGUACCUCCGGGAGAAGGGGGGGAGAGCUCCUCCAAGCACUGAGACACCGCUUGUUGAGAAGCAGGCCUUGGGUGAUCCUCACGAUGAAGGUGGAGGUGAGGAAGAGGAGGAGGAAGAGGAGGGAGAAGGAGGAGUCAAGUUUCUGUACUUCGAUCCUAACCUUCUCUACUCCGGUGAUGAGUCUUCAUGCAGUGACUCUGGGGCUUCUGAGGACCUGGAUUACAUGCCCUCAAGGAGUCACAAGAAGAAACAAGUGCCUAAUAUGUCACCCGAUAUGUAA